GCAGAUUAUUUCCUAGUAAAGGUUCUGGUGAUCAAGUGGACUCAAUUAGAAAAAUAUCCUCAGACUACCACAGCAGAGCUGUUUUCCUCCAGAGCACCCAGUGCAGGUUGCCACCAGCACCAUCCUCAAAACCAGUUACUGUUUUUAGGAGCCAGUCCACAGCAUCUGAUCAUGACCCUCUGCAUGUGUAAGCACUUACCUGAGGUAUGCAGGGAGGCUGCUUCCACAUAGCCGUGUUAUCACAGGGCUGUAGGUGACCCAUACCGAGGAUGGGCCCCCAGCACGUUCCUUACACGCUAUUCCAGGUGAGCCUGGUCAGGUGGCAGAGGCUUGUGCUGGGCUGAAGCACCCAGGCUGGAGCAGGAGAAGGCUCGUGGAUGGCUACAUGCAGCAGCACCCAUAAGGUGAAGCCUGGGGCAGAGAGCAAUCGGCUGCGGUGAAGCUGUGGCUAGUCACACUCUUUCCUGCAAUGCCUCUCCAGAAAGAAGGAAAACUAGUCUAAUUGGGAAGUCUCCAGCCUCCUGCCAAGGACAGAGCAUUGGAGUCUCCAGCAGCUCAGCCUAUGCCCACCCACGACAGCCUCACUGGCAUCAUCACCUUCAACAUGAAGCACGCUCUGUCCACGAGAGGCUGGGUGAUGCACAGCAGCAGCAAGACCCGGGGAGAGAAGGAGCUGCCUUGCAGUGCACGUUGUGCUGAGAAAUUUGUUUUGUGUGUGUUUUCCUUCUGUAUCUGGAGCUCUCUGAGCUCUGCUGGCUGCCAGAAGCCUCAGCACCUCUUCGCGCAGCAGCAUGAACAACAGGCAGCUGGCAGAAAGCACAGCAGCCAGCAGUAUUUUCCUUUUGACCUCAAUUCCCCAGCACAAUUGCUCGGACUUUCCCUUAGCUCUGUGUCAUCUCUCUGUCACAAAUAACUUUUCACCUGUGAUAAAAAGAGGCAAGCCUGAAUGGGAGAGGGGAAAAAAAAAAAGGAAGGCAGAAAGUUUUCUGUGCAGAGAACUUCUCAGUGCUUAAAGACAGGUGGUAUGGAAAUGCUGUUUCACAGAAGCAGAAAACAACACUUGGGAGGGUUCUGCAUUACCACGAGAGCACAUGCAGCUCCUAGGCUCCAGUCCUGGCCCUUCCCGGAGGCUUCUCUCUUUGUCUGGGAAAAGAUGCAUGGUUACUCUGCUUGCUUGCUCCAGGGAUCUCUGGUGAUGCGUUUUCUGGCCAAAAUGCAAACUGAAAUCAGAACUGCGGUUUGUCCCUGAGGGCACAGGAGCCAGUGGGUGGUUUGCUGUCACUGUCCCAGCUGUGGAUGGAGAGCAAUGGCACCAGCCUGUGUGGCUGUUGUACUGCCAGCAAAAAUUUAAGAAUAAUGCUUAGAAGGGUAUCAAAGAACAAGAAGCCUGGUAAUGAUUUUGCAAUAACUCUGUGCUGAGGAUUUCUCCAUCUUUGACGCUUUCCAGGAAAACUGAACUCUUAAUUUUUCAGUGGUGCCAAAACAGCCAAGUUUCAAAAGGCUGAUUAAUAUGAAGUGGCCAGGACAGGGGAAUCAGAGUUCAGCUUCUAAUAUGAAAGCUAUAGAAUGAUAGUGGCAAAACAUUGUUUUCUUCUUUAACCUACGUUUGAAAGCAUCACUGCACCUGCAGGGUAUGUCAAAGGGAACUUGUAUCGCUCUCUAACAGGAAAGACUCACUCAAGCACUGACAUACUUAUCUUAUUAGUAUUUUACCAUACUACAAAAAAAAACCAAACCAGAACAAGACUUCCUGCAACCCACCAGAUAUGCACGGGAAUUAUAUCACACCUUUCACGUCAGCUGCUGAGCACCUCUCCUAUGCAGCUGACCUAAAGUAGAAAAAGGAGUUGAUUCUCUGGUGGUGAGCAUUUUUCCUGAGGGCAGUGGUAAUGUUUCCUCCUCUAGUGAAACAA
ensembl:lncRNA